rnacentral:rRNA from 1 species
UACGUAGGGUGCAAGCGUUGUCCGGAAUUAUUGGGCGUAAAGAGCUCGUAGGCGGUCUGUUGCGUCGGCUGUGAAAACCCGGGGCUCAACUCCGGGCCUGCAGCCGAUACGGGCAGACUAGAGUUCGGCAGGGGAGACUGGAAUUCCUGGUGUAGCGGUGAAAUGCGCAGAUAUCAGGAGGAACACCGGUGGCGAAGGCGGGUCUCUGGGCAUUACCUGACGCUGAGGAGCGAAAGUGUGGGGAGCGAACAGG